UCGCGCUAUGAACAGUGCACGCGCGCUAGCCUACCGAGAGCCUCCUCUCUUCCCCAAUCUGCCGCCUCCUCUUCUCCUCCUCUCCAAUCCGCCGCCUCCUCUUCUCUUCCUCCUCAUCCUCUCCUCCCCAAUCCUCCGCCUCCUCUUCUCCUCUCCAAUCCGUCGCCUCCUCUUCUCCUCCUCCCCAAUCCGUUAGCCCUCACCACCAUGAAGCCACAAGGGGGGAGGGGACUGCGCCACCACAGGGGGAGGGGACUGCGUCGCCGCUGGAAGAAAAUAGGAAGAGGAGGUGGUGCGGGGGAGACCAGCGGCAGCGACGGCACAUCGACGUACUCGACAAGGAAGCGAGCCAGAGCGCGGGCUGCUGUGAGCGUUGCGUCGCCUGGGAGCCACCAUGGAGCAGGUGCUCUUCUCCUCCCCAAUCCGUGAGGAGGCCGGCGUUGGGGGAAGGAGCAUCCAUGGUGUGGAGGAGGCGACCGGAGAGGGAUGGAUCUGGCCGGCACAGAUUGCCUCCACUGCCUUCUUUUUGGGCUGCAACGGUGGACGUUUUCUCACCUUGUGCUCCCUGUCCGGCGAUCUUCGUCUGCUUGCUCGUCCUUGCUGUCCUCACUACAUCGAUGGUUGAUGACAAGCAAGAAUCAUGAUUUUGCCGAUAUACGUAUCUACAACAUGAGUUGCCAUGAAAGGUAUCUUUUCAUCCAGCUCAUUUACUUGUUUGGUUUUUAUCAGGUGAUGAAGUUGACAGACCUCUUAUUUUAUUGAGAUGUAUGGUUAUGCCUAGAGUUGCAGUUUCAACAUUACAAUCAACAUUAAAAUGCACAGGCACUGGACCAAUGGCACUUGCUUGGCCCUUGACUAGACAUGAGUUGCUUUCUCUUUUGUGGUGACUGCCAAAGAACAAAUCUCUUUGUUUCUACAAAUAUGUGAUGCUUUCUAUAGCAGGCAAGAUGUCUGAAGGAAUGCACAAAAGGGAAUAGGAUGUGAGUGCGUACUAAUGUUAUUAUAUUCUGUAUCAACUAUGUUCGCUCGUAUGAACUAAGAAUUGUAUCUACUAUAUUGAGAUAGAGAGUGCUUAUUCUACACCCCAGCUUGCUAGAUGGUAAUGUUCAGAACCUGUUUUGGGACUCAAGGGCAUGUGAGCAAGGGGAGCAUUCUGUGAGUAAGAACCCUGUCAUAGAUGGAUAAUUUAUGAUUAUGGCAUCUUUUGUCUUGACAGUCGACCAUUUUAUUUGUAGAGAUAUUUGAUCCUCACGGUAUUCUUAGGUUUCUACAGAAUUUACAAGACAUAAUAGAGCAUGCUCUUUCCUUUUCUGCCUAUGACAUAUGCUUUUAGAUUUGGAGGUGGGCUGUUGAAGUAGCUAUACACUGACCUCACACGUAAGCGAUGCUAAGGAUCUUUCAACACUAUCAGAUGCUCAUUACUAAACUGAUGGCUCAAGUCUGACGAAAUCUAUACAAAGUGGGUAGCUUGUCUGUUGUACCGCUGAAGCUUAUUGGAAACAUACUAACUGUCCAACAGUAACGAACUUCAGGCUCGUGAAUGAUUUCAGGCUGUUUGCCGCCGCUGGAAGAAAAUAGGAAGAGGAGGUGGCACGGGGGAGACCAGCGGCAGCGACGGCGCAUCGACAUGCUCGACAAGGAGGCGAGCCAGAGCGCGGGCUGCUGUGAGCGCUGCGUCGCCUGGGAGCCACCGUUGAACAGGUGCUCUUCUCAUCUCCAAUCCGUGAGUCAUCACCACCAAGAAGCAACGGGGGGACUCCACCGCCGCUUACCUCCACCCGCCUCAGUUUGUUUUUCUCUCCUCCCCUGCUGCUACUUCCUCGUUUCUCUCAAAUGAGUAUCUCUGUCUCCUCUUAUCAUUGCCUUUUUUUGAUUGUAUUGAAAUUGAUUCAAAAGAAUAUCAGUUCGUGUGCUGCCAGUUAGAUCGAUCUAUUCAUUGUGGUUGAUUUAGUUUUUAGGAUCUGCCGCCCCCCCCCCCCUUUUUUUCAUUUUUGCGACACACAACAUGUUUCAUGAUGAGACUCAUCAAUUAUCUUUUCAUAUUUUGAUAGUACUAUAUUAUUUACUUUGUGCAACUUUAGUUACCUGUAAGAUGCAAUCCACACCUUCAAAUAUUUGUGUUUCUGGGUGCUCUGUCUUUGACCAUAAAAUCAUGAAAGUUUGUUAAUAACUUAGAAGGAUAUGCUUCCGGUAAUGUGUUUCACGCAUAUUAUGUACUAUUAGUGUGUGAACAAUAUUUUUCAUAGGCUAUACUUGCAAGUAAAUUUGCUCGUCAGGACCAUUCGAAGGCCAAGGCCACAGCUUACCGCGCACUGCAGGUAUGGUUCCUUUUUUCUAUAAAUCUUUUUUUGUCACCUUAGUAAAGAACUGUUCAUUUUGCAUCUCGGAUUGAUCUUGGGGCUUCUCCUGGACCUACUUCUUGGAGUUGGCCUCCAUACAGGUUCUAGAUUAUUUACAGAAACCCACGGUGUACUGCAUCAUAUCUACGUGGCAACACCGGUACAGUUACAGUGUGCUGAAUCAUAAGAGUACUGCAACUCUGAAUCUUGAAAUGUUAAUAGUUACGUUCUUAUGAUUUUCUUGCAGUUCCUGGUACUUGCGAGUAUACCCCUAAAAAAUUAGUACUUGAGAGUAUGACAAUCUUUUCUUAUGUUUGAUUCCCUCAAGGCAAUCUCUUGAACUAAGCAGAGUUAUGUUUCCUAUGUACAGUUUGUUGCUCUCACUCAAUCAAUCAACGCUUUAAGUUUUGUUUUCAACGGUGUCAAUUGACCAUAGUGUUGCAUGAAGCUUUAUCUUUGAUCCUUACCAUAAUAUUGCUUUGUUGAACCAUCUCCGAGCGUAUGGACCUGGUUCUUUUUCGGUACAACUUUCUCUGUCUUUACAUGUUUAUUUAAAUCAUUUACGUUUCCUUUCCAGUUGCAGUGUUGGAGGAUAUAUCCUCCGCCAUGAAUGGACACUGUGAGAUGGCACGGCUCACUGAUGAGGCAAGUGGCCGAGGUGAGAUUAGGAAGAGACAGCGGCACUAACUUACUUGACAAGCUCACAGGAUUCUUCGCCGUUUCAAUAAUAUCCGGUGACAAGGGGUAUUACGAGUUUGAUCCGCAGUUUCAUCAGGACCUUGAUCAACAAGGAAAGCAUUUGCUUGUUGACCAUAUCUUUUACUUGUUUUGAAGGAUUAUACUAUCAUGUUGUUGUCCGUGUUGGUUACCAUGUCGUACCUUUCUUUGCAAUAUCCAUGUUUAGCUUUGUUUAACAUGGCUAGGAGUUGCUUGCUGUAUAAUAAAUGCUUAAGUUGACGAUAAGGUGAUGUUUUGCCUUGGCCUUUUGUUCUAAUCAUUCGUUGUUAUUAUCACAAAUCAUUUCAUCAUUUUUUGGCUUCAUUCUUUCCUUCCUGCUCGCGGCAGGUGCAAGACUCGGGCAACGGGCAGGUACAAGACUCGGGCAACGGUUAAUGGACAAGCACUAUAUACACAAUGCAUCUCUACUAAUAUAACUUACUUUAUAAAGCCAUCAAUGUAUGCUAUUAUCAAAUGAUUUGAAUAUUUUAUUUUAAGCUAUCGUGUAAUGGAAUAUAAGUAUCCA